GCCUAUUGUUUUAUGCAUGUUAACUGUUAAACCCAAUUCCCACUAGGCGAAUUUGUUCGCGCGAAGCAAAAAACAAAUGAUGGCCAUGUGAUUGGUCAGCAAAAAAAUUAGCCGCGAAAAAGUUAGUCAGUUCUUACUUUCUUACUGUUCACGCGAACAAAUUCGCCUAUAUAUAGUGGAAAAUGGGCUUAACCGCCACUGUUAUUUUCAUUUAAUGUCAUGGUUAUUUAUAAGUACUAUUUCUGGCCUAUAUACGAAAUGCAGAAAGCUAGAUUUUAACUUACCUUAUGUGUACAAUCAUACUAAGAAAAUCUUUAUCCGACUGAAGGUCAAGCUUAUAGAAUAAAAGGCGAACGAUACCCUCAGUGAGUCUUGAGUAACAAAUUACAACAAUGAUUGCUCGUUCGACAUUGUGCAUAUUUUAUGAAAAUAAUCGAUGGAAACAUCAAACAAUCGCGUGAGUUUCCGUUAAUUAUUAGUAUGAUUGGAAAACAUUUACUUAUUCUGAACAUUGUGAAAUAUACUUGUUAUAGGUGCAAGGAUGGGCAGGAAUUCGUGGUCCCAGAAUAAAAUUGUAAAUUGCGAACAAAGUACAAACUUAUAGUCAUGACGAUUUGAAACUUUGACUAUAUAGUUCUAUUAAGAAAUGUUAAACGAAAGUCUUCUUUUUAUAAUUGAAAAAAAAUCUAAUUAAACAAGAGAACUAUAUUAUAUACACCCCAUUGACAUGGAGAACAUUUUGUUUUUAAUUAAAAAUGCUAUGCUUGUGUACACACUAUAAUUUGUAAUAAAUUCUCUAAGCAGAUAUGAUUUGUCACAGAAAUAAGUUUUUUUGUUAAAUGGCAUCUCGCCCUCGGGAAUGUUUGAGACAUAUUAUUUUCCUGCUUUAUGCACAAAUUAAACCGCCUGCAUGCAUCAUUUAUGUUAAAAUAAUUAGACAAUAAAUUAAGACCUUUUUUGUGUUGCCUAACAAUAUAUUGUCUAGACAGCUUAAAAGUUGCUUAGAUAAUAUAUUGUAUAAUUUUUAACCUGCCAAUGCAUGGGGUAAACUGCAAAAUGUCGUUUUCAUUAAACAAAUAUCAAGCCUUGCUCUUGAUCAUUAACAACACAAGAAAGUCCAUAAUUAAUAAUAUGCUUUUCAAUGCCUUAUUCAGUCACAAAUUUCUAUACCCUUGCGUAGGUACAGAUACGAGGCUGCGGUAAUUUCAAAUUACUUCAGUUUUCCAUCUAUAUAUAAGAAAGGCGCGUGGAAUUCUUACUAGUCUUGAAUUUUUAAAAUAUUUCGUUUUUCUAAGUCUUCCAUUUCUUUCAACACAUACGCCACGUCAUAUUCCAGUUCAUUAAAUUUUGACAAUGAAACCUAGAAA